rnacentral:lncRNA from 10 species
GAGAUAGCUUUGACCAUUGAGCACCGGGACCUGCCCCUCUGCCAUCUUCGGCAGCCGCCUGGGAAAGGAGUUCCCUAUUUUUAGAUGAAACAGGGAAGGGCAUGGGGCCCCUUCACCCCUGAGGUACCUCUGCCAGAUUUCCCUGGAACCCUGUUUGAAAACCACAGAUCUAGUUCAAUCCUCGUUGUCCAUAUGAGGAAACUGAAGCCCAAAGAAUAGAAAGAACCAAGACGACCUUGUGCAGAGGGAGCAGUAGGAUUAGGACUUCACCCUCCUAAUUCCUGGGGUUCUGCUAUUCUCUGCUCCCUACACUGCUAUGAAGAACAGAGCCACGGUGUGAAGUUACAGGGGCUGUGCAGGGUCUGGCCCAGGGUUGUAGGGACAGUUUGCCACAAGAAGCCAGCAGCCAGGUAUGGUGGAAAGUAAUGGAUUCUUAGGACUUUUUUUUUUCUUAUUUUCAUUCAUUUAUUGAGGCACCACUGCACUGCAUCCUGGGCAAAAGGGUCUCACUCUGUUGCUGAGGACGCAGUGCAGUGGUGCCAUCAUAGUUGACUGCAGCCUCAACCUCCUUGGGCUCAAGCGAUCCUCCCACCUCAGCUUCCCAAGUAGCUGGGACUACAGGUGUGCACCACCAUGCUGGGCUUUUUUUUUUUAAACUUUUUGUAGAGAAGGAGUCUCACUAUGUUGCCCAGGCUGAUCGCAAAUUCCCAGGCUCAAGUGAUCCUCCUGCCUCAGCCACCCAAAGGGCUGGGAUUACAGGCAUGAGCCACUGCACUUGGACUCUAAGGGCAUUUGGAUUUAACAUCCCAGGAUAGGAAAGCAGGGCUGUGUGCUUCAAGGUCAAGAGCUACCUGCCCCUGGGAUUUGUAAUUAGAUCGCCAUCUCAACAGAGAUCAUUCCGAGAAAUCCUCAGGGCCAACAGCAUGUCCCUGUUUAUCUGACAGGGCAUUAUAAACUUCACAGAAACUUCUCAAACCAAAUUUAAUUGACUUUGGAAAGAAAGUGAUUCCUCACUUUUGGAGUGAGAAAGUUAAAGGUUCAUGUAAUCAAAAAGAGGCCUAGAAUCCCUGUUCUAAGCCAGGCUGGUAGGCUAUGGGACCACUUCUUUCUCCCCUACUAUAGGACUGCAUUCAAACCUCAACAUGACCUUCUUCCUAGGUUGUCUGAGUAAAAGGCUGCUCUACUCUGAGUCCAAAAGAACAGUGUGAACUGUUUGGGAAAAGGACGUGGACCCUCUCAAAAGCCCUCAACCUUAACCUCUCCCACUUAGGAUAUGAACUCCUGGUCUCAUCAUGUCCAAUUCUGAAUAUUUAAAAAGAGAGUUAAAAAGGAGGAAUGGCUUGGCCCAGUGGCUCAUGCCUGUAAUCACAGCACUUUCGGAGGCUGAGGAGGAAGGAUCACUUGAGCCCAGGAGUUCGAGACCAGCCUGGUCAACAUAGUGAAACCCCAUCUCUAUUUUGUAUAAAAAUAUAAAGUAAUUAAAACUUAAAAAAGGAGGAAUGAAAAUUAUGUUUACUCAACUAUGAAAAAAAUGCUCAGGAGGAAGGAACUAGAUCACAAUACUAAUAUGUUGACUUGGUUACAACGAUGGGGAUAUUGUGGCUGGACCAUAUUUGUUUUCCUUUUUCUACGAAUAAGCAUGUAAGAUAAAUUUCUGGGCUGGGUGCAGUGGCUCACACCUGUAAUCCCAGCACUUUGGGAGGCCGAGGUGGGUGGAUCACCUGAGGUCAGGAGUUUGAGACCAGCCUGGCCAACACGGUGAAACCCUGUCUCUACUAAAAACACACACACACACACACACACACACACACAAAUUAGCCGGGCGUGGGGGCGGGCACCUGUAAUCCCAGCUACUUGGGAGGCUGAGGCAGGAGAAUUGCUUGAACCCAGGAGGCGGAGGUUGCAGUAAGCCGAGAUCACACCAUUGCACUUUAGCCUGGGUGACAGAGCAAGACUCUGUCUCAAAAAAAAAAAAAAUUCUGGCCGGGUGUAGUGGGUCGCGCCUAUAAUCCCAGCACUUUGGGAAGCAAAGACAGGUAGAUCACUUGAGCCCAGGAAUUUGAGACCAGCCUGGGAAAUAUGGUGAGACGCUGUCUCUAAAAAAAUUUUUUAAAGAUUUAAAAAAUAGGCCAGGCGCGGUGGCUCAUGCCUGUAAUCCCAGUACUUUGGGAGGCCGAGUCAGGUGGAUCACGAGGUCAGGAGAUCGAGACAAUCCUGGCUAACACGGUGAAACCCCAUCUCUACUAAAAGUACAAAAAAUUAGCCGGGUGUGGUGGCGGGCACCUGUAGUCCCAGCUACUCGGGAGGCUGAGGCAGGAGAAUGACGUGAACUCGGGAGGCGGAGCUUGCAGUGAGCCAAGAUCACGCCACUGCACUCCAGCCUGGGCAACAGUGCAAGACUCUGUCUCAAAAAUAAUAAUAAUAAUAAUAAUAAUAAUAAUAAUAAUAAUAAUAAUAAUGAUUAGCUGGAUAUGGUGUUGAGUACCUCUAGGUUCCAGUUACUCAGGAGGCUAAGGUAAGAGGAUCAUUGGAGGCUGGGAGUUUGAGGCUGCAGUGGGCGGUGAUCACACCACAGUAUCUAGCCUGGGCAACAGAAUAAGACCAUUUCAAAAUAAAUUUUUUUUUUUAGUUAAAAAAAACUGAAUCUCUCGGGGUUCUAGUUCUAAGUAAGAUAGAGUAAGCAGUCUGUCUCUCCCACUGGCUGCAACUAAAAGCCCUGGAAAUAAUGGAUCUGAGGACUCUGAAAAAGAAAUAUUAACAAGGCUGGGUGCGGUUGCUCAUGCCUAUAAUCCCAGAACUUUGGGAGGCUGAGGCAGGAGGAUCACUUGAGGCCAGGAGUUUGAGACCAGCCUGGGCAACACAAUGAGACUCUGUCUCUAGAAAAAAAAAAAUUUUUUUUUUUUGGGGGUAGCAGCAGUAACAGUGGUGGCCAGAAAAGCACCUAAAACUCUGACAAAGCGGAAUCCUUUCAUCUGUCCAAAGCAUCUGCAAUCUGAAAAGUAGAAGAGGGGAAUCUCCGUUGCCUUUUUUCUCUCUUCAUCCUGUCACCUGGCCCAAGAGUACACCCGCCAUGGAGGGUGCGUAACAAGCAGGGAGACUAAAGGACCCAAUUUCUAGCUAAAGGGUCAGGAAAAUGAGGGGUCUUGAAAGCUGGAGAAUGUGGACAGGAGAGAGCUUGUGAAAUAGAUCCCAUAAAGUUGCACAUGAAUUUGUAGGUUCACAUGCAUGGACCUGACCCUAAGCAGUAUUCCAGUGAAUGAGAACUGAACUAUUAGGCAGAACACCCAGGUUUCAGACUGCUCACUGGGGGGCAUAAGCUUAGGACUGUUCUGAUUUACAUGGCAAAGGCUUUGAAACUGAACUGAUCGGCUGGGCGCGGUGGCUCACGCCUGUAAUCCCAGCACUUUGGGAGGCUGAGGCGGGUGGAUCACGAGAUCAGGAGAUCGAGACCAUCCUGGCUAACAUGGCGAAACCGCAUCUCUACUAGGCAUGGUGGCGGGUCCCUGUAGUCCCAGCUAUUCGGGAGGCUGAGGCAGGAGAAUGGCGUGAACCUGGGAGGCGGAGUUUGCAGUGAGCUGGGAUUGCGCCAUUGCACUCCAGCCUAGGCGACACAGCGAGACUCCAUCUCAAAAAAAAAAAAAAAAAAAAAAAGAAGAAACUGAACUGAUACUGGAACUACAAUAGCCCACAGGAGACAGAUGAGGAUCGAACCGAAGAGGGUCAACUGCCUCCUAAAACAAAAACCUGACAUUUUCCGUGGGAUUUAAACAAGACCUAUUCAAAAUGCCUAGGAUACAAUCAAAAUUACACACAAAGAACAAGGAAAGUCUGGACCCUGAGAUGACCCAGAUGUUGGAAUUAUCAGAAAAAGACUCUUUUUUUCUCUCUUUUUUUUGAGAUGGAGUUUCACUCUUAUUGCCCAGGCUCGAGUUCAAUAGCAUGAUCUUGGCUCACUGCAACCUCCGCCUCCUGGGUUCAAGCGAUUCUUCCGCCUCAGCCUCCCGGGUAGCUGUGAUUACAGGCGCCCGCCACCACAUCCAGCUAAUUUUUUGUAUUUUUAGAGACGGGGUUUCAACAUGUUGGCCAGGGUGGUCUCGAACUCCUGACCUCAGGUGAUCCACCAGCCUCAACCUCCCAAAGUGCAGGGAUUACAGGCUAAAUAAGAAUUUUAGAACUAAGAAAAUAUAAGAAUCAAGAUUUGGAAAUGAUGUUUCUGACCUAUUCCCUGGAAAAUGUGAAUGUUACUUUAUAUGACAAAGGAGACUGCAGAUGUAACUUAUGCAGAUGUAACUGAUUUUAUUUUUAUGUUAGUGGGCUCAUUCUAAUCACAUGAGUCUUUUAAAGCAGAGUGAUUCUCUCUGGCUGGACUUAGAUGUAACAGAAGGAAAAGUUAGAAGUAUUUAAAGUGUGAGAAGAAUUCAACCUAUUUCUGGAGGGGCACACGUAGAAAGCACCAGAAUGUGGGCAGCUUCUACAGAGAAAAGGCCAACCCCCAGCUGACAGCUAAGAAAACAGGGUCCUCUACCCUGCAACUGCAAUACACUAAAUUCAGCCAAGAACCCAAAUGAAUGUGGAAGCAGAUUCUUCCUCAGAGCCUCCAGGGAAAAACACAUUUGGUUUUGGCCGUAUGAAACGUGAUUUGGACCUUGUGAGACUCUAAGCAGAGGACCUAGUCAAGUCCAAUCAAGCUUCUGACCUAUAGAAAUUGUGAGAAAAUAUAUGGAUGUUGUUUUAAGCCACUAAGUUUGUGGUAAUUUGUUACAGCACCAAGAGUAAACUAAUACAUUAUCCAAAAUGAGCAGCAGAGAGAAAAAAAUUUUUUUUUUGAAACACAGUCUCACUUUGUCACUCAGGCUGGAGAGCAGAGGCACGAUCUUGGCUCACUGCAGCCUUGACCUCCCUCCUGGGCUCAAGUGAUCUCUCACUUCAGCCCCAACAAAUAGCUGGGACUACAGGUGCAUGCCACCACACCCACCUAGAGAAAAUUUUUUAAAAAAUGAAUAGUCUCAGGAAUUCACGGACAAUGUCAAAAGCUCUAACAUUCAUGUUAUCAAUGACACAGAAGUACAGGACAGUAUGGUACAGAAAACAAUACUUGAAGAAAUCAUAGCUGAGAACUUCCCAGAUAUCUGAAACACAAUCAAGUGGCUCUGUGAACUCUGAUAAGGAUAACCGAAAGAAAUCCAUGUCCAUAUACAUCAUAAUUAAACUGAUGAGAACCAAAGACAAGGAGAAAAUCUUAAAAAGCAGCUGGGGAAAAAUAAAGCAUUACCUGUUGGGAAACAAUAGUUAGAAUGCCUCUGGAUUUCUGAGAAAAAACCAUGGAGGCCAGAAGGCAUAGAACAAUUUUUUUUUUUUUUUUGAGAUGGAGUCUUGCUCUGUUGCCCAGGCUGGAGUGCAAUGUCCUGAUCUUGGCUCACUGCAACCUCUGCCUCCCGGGUUCAAGUAAUUCUCCUGUUUCAUUCUCUAAUCUCAGUAGCUGGGAUUACAGGCACUUGCCACUACGCCCUGCUUUCGUAUUUUUAGCAGAGACAAGGCUUUUGCCAUGUUGGCCAGGCUGGUCUCGAACACUUGACCUCAAGUGAUCUGGCCACCUCGGCCUCCCAAAGUGUUGGGAUUACAGGCAUGAGCCACCACGCCCGGCCUCAAUUGUAUUUCUAUAUACUAAUAAUGAGCAAUUGGAAAAAAAAUCUACAAUAGCCACCCCCCCGCCAAGUGAAAUAUAGUUUGAGACCCAUUCAUGGAUCUCAAAUCCAAAAAUGUGAAAUGCUCAAAAUCUAAAACUUUUUGAGAGCUGAAAUGACUAUCAAAGGAAAUACUCAUUUAAGCAUUCUGGAUUUUAGAGUUGGGAUGCUCAAGUAAUAUUUGCUUCAGGUAAAGCAAAUAUUAACCUGAAAAUAAUCCAAAAUAUUUCUGGUCCCAAGCAUUUCUUUUUUUCUUUUCUUUUUCUUUUUUUUUUUUUUUCUUUUUGAGAUGGAGUCUCACUCUUGUUGCCC